UGUUAUAAUGAAGAAUUGCUGAUGGU
rnacentral:piRNA from 1 species